AGUAACACGUGAGUAACCUGCCCCUGACUCUGGGAUAAGCGUUGGAAACGACGUCUAAUACUGGAUAUGAUCACUGGCCGCAUGGUCUGGUGGUGGAAAGAUUUUUUGGUUGGGGAUGGACUCGCGGCCUAUCAGCUUGUUGGUGAGGUAAUGGCUCACCAAGGCGACGACGGGUAGCCGGCCUGAGAGGGUGACCGGCCACACUGGGACUGAGACACGGCCCAGACUCCUACGGGAGGCAGCAGUGGGGAAUAUUGCACAAUGGGCGAAAGCCUGAUGCAGCAACGCCGCGUGAGGGAUGACGGCCUUCGGGUUGUAAACCUCUUUUAGUAGGGAAGAAGCGAAAGUGACGGUACCUGCAGAAAAAGCACCGGCUAACUACGUGCCAGCAGCCGCGGUAAUACGUAGGGUGCAAGCGUUGUCCGGAAUUAUUGGGCGUAAAGAGCUCGUAGGCGGUUUGUCGCGUCUGCUGUGAAAUCCCGAGGCUCAACCUCGGGCUUGCAGUGGGUACGGGCAGACUAGAGUGCGGUAG
rnacentral:rRNA from 1 species